rnacentral:lncRNA from 1 species
UAAUUUUCAAUUAAUAACAUAAUUUAUUUUCUAAAAUGUUCAUUUUCAAUGUUGAUUUCCAUGGCGUGAUUAAUUUUAUUAAAUAUCUCAAGAUUUCGUAAUGAUUUAAAAAUUGAUUUUUUCUUAACUUCUGUUUGGUCAUUCAUCCCUAUCAUCAUUACAUAAUUUAUUAAAAUUUAAGAAACUUGCGCACUCUUAUCCUCCAGGAAUUAAAUCCAUCUAUAGAAAUUCAUACUGAUACUUCAACAGCUGGGCUCGCCAUCACUUUUUCCGACGAGAAAUUGGAGCAAGGAGAUAAAAAUACACAUCCAUAUUCCUAAAAGCAUAACUUUGGCUCAAAUUAUUUGCAAAUGUAUCUCUUCCAUCUUUGAAGAAUUGAAUGGACAUUUGUAUACGUAUGGAGAUGAAAUCAGGAGAACUGAAGACAUCGCUAUUGCAAGAUGUGUUACAAUCAUCCGAUUAAAGCCAAAUAUGCCCUGUUCCGUUUGAUAACUUGUUCCAAACAAGAAUCCAACUUCAUAAUGUCUUUUUCGUAGAAAAUCCUUGUUCCAAAGAGCUUCUAGCCCGUCAUCAAAUAUGUGUGUGGGCUGGUGUUGUCUUGAUGAAACACAAUUCAUCUCUUAUUCAUCAAAUAUGGCCGCUUCUGUUCGAUUGCCAGCUUCAAAUGGUCGAUUUAUUCACAGUAGAUGGCAGAAUUGAGCGUUUGGUGAUAGGAAAAUAGCUCAUAGUAUAUUAUUCUCUGCCAAUCCUACCAUGGUAGUCAAUUUUCACUUGGCCACGGUCUAGGAUGUUUUUUUGUAUUUUGGCCACAAUUUCGGUAACCUGACAUUGACGUAAUUUUUCCUGGAAAAAUUGACCUUAAAUGCACUCUUUUACCUGGAGCUCGUGCAAGAUAAUGGGACAGAAUAAUUUUUCUAACAUAAAUUCUAAAUAGAUAAAGGAUAUAGUGAUGGAUAUUUCAUUCAUCGCUAUUUAGCCGGAGCUCCUGGUAUAAGAGUGCGUUUAAAGUCCAUUCUUCAUUGAAAAAUUAUUUAUAA